GGAACUGAAACAUCUAAGUACCCCGAGGAAAAGAAAUCAACCGAGAUUCCCCCAGUAGCGGCGAGCGAACGGGGAGGAGCCCAGAGCCUGAAUCAGUGUGUGUGUUAGUGGAAGCGUCUGGAAAGGCGCGCGAUACAGGGUGACAGCCCCGUACACAAAAAUGCACAUACUGUGAGCUCGAUGAGUAGGGCGGGACACGUGGUAUCCUGUCUGAAUAUGGGGGGACCAUCCUCCAAGGCUAAAUACUCCUGACUGACCGAUAGUGAACCAGUACCGUGAGGGAAAGGCGAAAAGAACCCCGGCGAGGGGAGUGAAAAAGAACCUGAAACCGUGUACGUACAAGCAGUGGGAGCCUCUUUAUGGGGUGACUGCGUACCUUUUGUAUAAUGGGUCAGCGACUUAUAUUCUGUAGCAAGGUUAACCGAAUAGGGGAGCCGAAGGGAAACCGAGUCUUAACUGGGCGUUAAGUUGCAGGGUAUAGACCCGAAACCCGGUGAUCUAGCCAUGGGCAGGUUGAAGGUUGGGUAACACUAACUGGAGGACCGAACCGACUAAUGUUGAAAAAUUAGCGGAUGACUUGUGGCUGGGGGUGAAAGGCCAAUCAAACCGGGAGAUAGCUGGUUCUCCCCGAAAGCUAUUUAGGUAGCGCCUCGUGAAUUCAUCUCCGGGGGUAGAGCACUGUUUCGGCAAGGGGGUCAUCCCGACUUACCAACCCGAUGCAAACU
rnacentral:rRNA from 1 species